UACCUACCCUUGACAUGUCAGGAAUCCUGCUGAGAGGUGGGAGUGCCCGAAAGGGAGCCUGAACACAGGUGCUGCAUGGCUGUCGUCAGCUCGUGUCGUGAGAUGUUGGGUUAAGUCCCGCAACGAGCGCAACCCUUGUCAUUAAUUGCCAUCAUUGAGUUGGGCACUUUAAUGAGACUGCCGGUGACAAACCGGAGGAAGGUGGGGAUGACGUCAAGUCCUCAUGGCCCUUAUGGGUAGGGCUUCACACGUCAUACAAUGGUCGGUACAGAGGGUUGCCAACCCGCGAGGGGGAGCCAAUCCCACAAAGCCGAUCGUAGUCCGGAUCGCAGUCUGCAACUCGACUGCGUGAAGUCGGAAUCGCUAGUAAUCGUGGAUCAGCAUGUCACGGUGAAUACGUUCCCGGGUCUUGUACACACCGCCCGUCACACCAUGGGAGUGGGUUCCACCAGAAGUAGGUAGUCUAACCGCAAGGGGGGCGCUUACCACGGUGGGAUUCAUGACUGGGGUGAAGUCGUAACAAGGUAACC
rnacentral:rRNA from 1 species